AAACCGUUGGAAGGGAAGCGAAUGGAGUCAGCAAUUCGCCCAGUACGAUUCAGUCGCGUACCGUUCGGUCGCGUGCCCGAUGUCGAUCUUCCGAGACGAAACGUGCACCUCCGGYCGGACGUUCGCGGCGCACUUCGCAUGGGCGAGCGUCAACGUCGGUAGACGUACGAGUGAGAAAGCUGCGAGAAUGGUAGGUCCUUGGGGACUGGUAAGCCUCGCUAGCACCUAACCCGUAGUCCACCGAGGCGGUCGCAUCGCGUGCCUCUGGCUGAUGUUCUGUACCGUUGUGUCGGAUGCGAAACGUGGCGGACGGCUGUGCCUGUGCGCUCGAACCGCCACCGUGCAACGGCACGUCGAACAUACACCACGCGUUGAGGACGUUUGACGAGCAUACGGCUUCAUCCGACCCGUCUUGAAACACGGACCAAGGAGUCUAACAUGUUCGCAAGUCACUGGGUGCUUGAAACCCGUGGGCGUAAUGAAAGUGAAGGCAAUCUGUUGUUGAGAUGAGAAGCCCUGGCAGKGGUUGGGGCUGCAUCAUCGACCGACCUGUUCUACUCCUAGAAAGGUUUGAGUAAGAGCGUACCUGUUGGGACCCGAAAGAUGGUGAACUAUGCCUGAAUAGGGUGAAGCCAGCGGAAACACUGGUGGAAGCCCGUAGCGAUUCUGACGUGCAAAUCGAUCGUCGAAUUUGGGUAUAGCGGCGAAAGACUAAUCGAACCAUCUAGUAGCUGGUUCCCUCCGAAGUUUCCCAUAGGAUAGCUGGGACGUUGCAGU
rnacentral:rRNA from 1 species